AUUGAACGCUGGCGGUAGGCCUAACACAUGCAAGUCGAACGAGUGGCGGACGGGUGAGUAAUGUCUGGGAAACUGCCUGAUGGAGGGGGAUAACUACUGGAAACGGUCGCUAAUACCGCAUACCAUCAGAUGUGCCCAGAUGGGAUUAGCUUGUUGGUGGGGUAACGGCUCACCAAGGCGACGAUCCCUAGCUGGUCUGAGAGGCUGACCGGCCACACUGGAACUGAGACACGGUCCAGACUCCUAGGGGAGGAAGAAGUGGGGAAUAUUGCACAAUGGGGGCAAGCCUGAGGCAGCCAUGCCGCGUGUAUGAAGAAGGCCUUCGGGUUGUAAAGUACUUUCAGCGGGGAGGCGUUACCCGAAGAAGAAGCACCGGCUAACUCCGUGCCAGCAGCCGCGGUAAUAC
rnacentral:rRNA from 1 species